rnacentral:rRNA from 1 species
GACGAACGCUGGCGGCGUGCCUAAUACAUGCAAGUAGAACGCUGAAGAGAGGAGCUUGCUCUUCUUGGAUGAGUUGCGAACGGGUGAGUAACGCGUAGGUAACCUGCCUGGUAGCGGGGGAUAACUAUUGGAAACGAUAGCUAAUACCGCAUAAAAUUGAUUAUUGCAUGAUAAUUAAUUGAAAGAUGCAACUGCAUCACUACCAGAUGGAUCUGCGUUGUAUUAGCUAGUUGGUGAGGUAACGGCUCACCAAGGCGACGAUACAUAGCCGACCUGAGAGGGUGAUCGACCACACUGGGACUGAGACACGGCCCAGGCUCCUACAGGAGGCAGCAGUAGGGAAUCUUCGGCAAUUGGGGGAACCCUGACCGAGCAACGCCGCGUGAGUGAAGAAGGGUUUCGGAUCGUAAAGCUCUGUUGUAAGAGAAGAACGGGUGUGAGAGUGGAAAGUUCACACUGUGACGGUAUCUUACCAGAAAGGGACGGCUAACUACGUG